AUGGCGCCCGGGCUGGGGCCGUGGCUCCUGGCCUUGUCCUUGGCCGCGGGGCCGGCAGGGGUGUGGGCGCAGCUGAGGCUGGAGGAGACCGGCAGAGGGCUGCGAGCGCCUGGGAACACUGUGCUCCUCUCCUGCCACGGAUCCGGCUUCGCCUUCGGGAGUUAGAACGUUCUGUGGUACCGUCAGGCCCCUGGUUUCAGUGCCGAGUGGUGUCCUACAUCAACUACUGGGGUAAUACAAAGAAGUACGAGGCAGCGGUGCAGGGUCGAGCCACGGUGUCCCGGGACAAUUCCCGGUCCGAGUCAUCUGUGUCCCUGCGUGACCUGCAGCCCCGGGACUCUGCCUGCUACUUCUGCACCGUUGGCACAGGGACAGGAAAUCCAGCUGAGCUUUAACAGAAACCUCCUGUCAGGGUCCAGGCUCUGGGCCUCGGAGCUGGAAAGAAGACCAUUCCCACAUUAUUCAGUGCUGUUCGCAGAGAGUUGUGUAGUUACAGCAUACAGUUUUCAAAUGUUUGAUUCUUACAGAGAUGUUUGAAUUGGUUCUGUCCCCUUCUGCUCUACUCCUUCGGCUUGCCUUCUUCCCAUGUUUCAUGUCAAUUCCCUCUCCUCUCACACUCCCAAACCUCUUGACCUUUGGAAACAAGUUUUGCUGUUUCCUUCAGUUCCCACAAGGACAGCUACCCAGUGGUGGCUCACCUGGGGAGUUGUGUGAAUAGCCCUGCUCUGGUUUUGGGCAUGGCUCAGGUGACUCAGUGGAGUUUUGCUCCCUGGGGGGCAAGCAGAGUAAAUGCGGGAGGUACACAGGGUCAUUUGGGAGCUGACUGGAGAAAGGGGAAAUCUGUGUUUCUCUCCCAGCUCCAAAACUAUAAUGGGAGCAAGAGCUAGUGAGCAUGUGUGUUUGCAUCUGCUGGAUCCCGGAGAUCACAAGUGGAAGCCCAGGGAAGUUGUGAAGUAGUUGAAGCGAUUGCUGGAGCUGUUCCUGCCUGUUCAUUCUUGUCUCCUGGGGUUGCAGGUGCCCUUUCUCAGGUGCAGACAGAGCUUUUGGCCCACGGUAGGAAAGGU